UACGUAGGGUGCGAGCGUUGUCCGGAAUUAUUGGGCGUAAAGAGCUCGUAGGCGGUUUGUCGCGUCUGCUGUGAAAUCCCGAGGCUCAACCUCGGGUCUGCAGUGGGUACGGGCAGACUAGAGUGCGGUAGGGGAGAAUGGAAUUCCUGGUGUAGCGGUGGAAUGCGCAGAUAUCAGGAGGAACACCGAUGGCGAAGGCAGUUCUCUGGGCCGUAACUGACGCUGAGGAGCGAAAGCGUGGGGAGCGAACAGG
rnacentral:rRNA from 1 species